UGGGGANUCUUGCACAAUGGAGGAAACUCUGAUGCAGCGAUGCCGCGUGAGUGAAGAAGGCCUUUGGGUUGUAAAGCUCUUUUGUAGGGGAAGAUAAUGACUGUACCCUUAAGAAUAAGGUCCGGCUAACUUUCGUG
rnacentral:rRNA from 1 species